rnacentral:lncRNA from 1 species
GGGGGGGGGGGACACCCUCUGCUCAGUCGCCAGGUAGUCGACAAAUUAUUAAUUUAUCCCAGUCGGCAAAACCUGAAUUGGAUAGGAAGAAAAAACAACUUAAUCAAACAGUAUUAUUUAAACAUAUUUUUUGGAAAAUUGAGUUUGCCCCAAGAGCGUACACACUCAUCUAGGGGGCUUACUCGAUUGAUAUACAUUCCGUAUUGAUAUACAGUAUUAAAACAGUUAAUAAAUAUAUUUAUAAAAUUAAUGUAACAACGCAUGCUUGAACAUUGAAAUGUAAUGUAUUUUAAUGAAUGUAGUUAUAAUAUAGCAUUUGUAAAUUCUGAACGCUGAUUGGCUAAGAGCAGUGUUGAUAUAACUCAAUGUCAACACGGAAACGUGGGAAAAUUUAUUUCUUUCUAUUUCUUUGUGCUAUAUUAUAAAACAAAUAUAAAACAUUUUUCCGUAUUGAUAUAUAGUUAUAUCAACACUCGUGGAAAUGGGAAAAACUCGAAAUUGUGUGAAAACACUCCGCCCUUCGUUUUCCCAAUUUCCACUCGUGUUGAUAUAAGUAUAUAUCAACACGGAAAAUGUUUUAUACUUACACUGGCCUGUAAGGCCAAGUGUCUUAAAUCCCCCUUUUUCUGUUUUUUUUUCGUAGUCGAGAAAUCGAGUUUGCGUUAGCUCAUCGCAGGCUCAGGGUGCAACGAUUAAGCCAAAAUGCCAUCGAUU